CCACCCACUUCAUUAUGCUAAGUUUGUUCAGCUGUGGUUUUUACUGCUACGCAAUGGCUGCUGAUGGGAAAGGAAAAAAAUAUUUACAUAACUUGUGUCCAUGCAUCUUUUUUUUCCUCAGAGCUUCGUUUUAUUUUUGUUUACAGUGUCCUUGUGGUAUUACCAAAGAAAGUUGUAGUUUGUGGGAAUAAAUUUAGGAAGGAGUCCUUUGAAAACUACCAACAGCUCAUGACGGGAUUCAGACUUCGACUGAAGGAAGAUUCAGCUCCCACUGUUGGUCACAAAUCUACAAAUUAUGGUGGUGGCAAUUCUCCCAGGAAGCAGGCAAAACUUGACUUGGAAAACAAUGGCUUGUGCAAGGAAGAUGAGACCGAGUGAGAGUUGGAGUUGUUAAGCUUCUCCUGGCGUGACUAAAACUGGAGAAACCUGUGAAACGGCGUCGCUGGUUUCUGGUCGUCUUUUGACAACCAGUGAUCUGGCACAAGAACAUUCAGAUGUUUUGAUAAACUGGGUUAAGGCAGACCAGGACCUUCUUGUGUCAAGACAUGAAAAGAGGAUGCAAUAAAAGAACCAACUCCCAUGGUGGCAGAAAUGUCCUGACAAAUCAAAAAGGCUUACAAAUUAAAUUUGAUGUUUUGGAUAGAGAAUCCAGAGCAGUGAUGAUGACUUGUCAAAAAGUUGUUGAUAGCAUGUUUAUAAAUAAAUUAGAAGUAAAAAUGUUUCAUAGUUUUAUUGGAAAGUGCAUGCAUUGUAGUAAAUUGAUGCUAACAGCAGCUUUGAAUAUUUCCAUUUUCGUUUAAAUGUGUUUUAUUUGAUUAGAUGAAGUGAAUUUUGGAAAAUUUUACAUAUUGACCAGAGUGUGUGCUUAUGAUGCUUCUGUGGAGCCUAAUAUGUAUGUGUUGACAUAAAAGAUCUGGAAUUUA